GCCGCCGCCCGUCGCCCCCCCGCUGUCCCCGCGGCGGGCGGAAGGAGGCUGCGGCCCCGCGGCGGGGGGGCUGCGGGAACGGGGCCCGGCGGAGCGGCGCCGGGGGAGCCGGAGUCGGGGGGGGGGGGCGGGAGGAGCGGCGCCGGGGGCGGCGGAGCGGGGAGCGGGGGCGGCCGGAGGCCGGGCGGGGCGGCUGCGAGGUGCGGCUUUAGCGCGCGGCUGAGCGAAAAGCCAGGAGCGAAAAUAAACCGGGAGAAGCCUCAAGGCUAAUCCCGCUGCCGGCGGCGUCUGCCCCGGAGGAAUAUCGUUCCGGUGAGGCCGGUCCCGUCGCUGCUGCGCUGCCGGGCAGUUAUUUUUAGCCGCGGCUGGAGGAGGCUCCUCAGGUAGCGAGCGGCUGCUGGGCAGCCCCGCGCCCCCCGCAGAAGGCCCCCGUGAUGCUGAGGGAGCUGGCACGGCACCCGCUGCAGGGUCAGGACAGGCUGACACCCAGGUGGCACCAGCGGCAGCCGCCCCAGCAGGGACUUGGACAGGAUCCUCGCUUGCUGCUUGUUUCGAAGGCUUGGGAGCGGGGCUUCAGUGUUACAUAAAUUCGGUGCUGCCCCUGCACGGGGGGAUUUGGCCAGGGGGAUGCGGGACACAGGACACGUGCACCCCGCCCACUUUGUCCCACAAAUUGUCAGGGGCACCGUGCCCACCACGGCCCUGCCCUCUCUCCUUAAUGGGUUUCCAGGCCGGUGCUGCCAGGUGCGUCCCCUGCUCAGCUCUGUAUUUCAAGGCACACUGUCUAAACCUUCAGAAUCGUGACAGAUCAAAGCAGGAGCCUUCGUGUAUUUUAUUAUGAUUUUGAUUUUUUUUUCCUCUCUCUGCUAUAACUAAGCCUUUUGUUCUCACCCGGGCAAGGGCUCAGGCAGGACAGCAAACUCUUUGGAGCUGGCACCAUCGGUUUCUUUUUAUCAGUAUGGCAAAUAGCACAGUCUCAUGCUAAAUAAAUAAUCAGAUCAUAAUUUUAAGUCCUACCUUUUCCCUUGAAAUUGAUACCAUGGUUAUGCUUUAUCUUUCUUCUCCAGUAUAACAGAUCAACUUCAAUUUUUACAAAAUAAUAAAACCCAAACCUCAGUUUCACCGAGGCUUUCAGGCUCAAGAAAUGGAAGGUCUGGAAAUGGAAAUUCUUCAAAGCAUGAGCAACUGCAAUGGAAAUUCUCAAACCCUCUUAAUAGGGCCUAAAAGAGAGGUGUUUCUCUCUUCAGGUGCAGUGUAUUGCAGCGCUUGUCUUACAGCUAUGUUAAACAUUUCUCCUUACUCAUUUAUGCCAUUAAUGUGUAUUUUCUCUGAUAAUCUGCAUCCCAACAGUAGCCAAGGUCAGAAGAAUCCUCAAAUGACAAAAAAAAAAAAAAAAAAAAAAAAGGUAAACUUAGCAGAAAAGCAGAAGUCACGUAAAACAAUGGUGAGUGUGACCUGAGAGUUAGAGACUGGGACAAAUUCAGCAGAACAUUGUGACAAGUCCCUGCAAGCUUGACACGAUGAUAAAUACAAUUUGUUCCUUGUUGUCCUCAUUGUUAUUAAUUUACAUGUUUUUUCAGGCUUACAUUGUACAUUGAUUAUUUUUUUUUUUUAAUGCAGAUGCAAAGAAAAACUUCAGCACAUUUUCAGAGGCUGGAUUUGAAGAAGACAACAAACCCCAAAUUAUUUCCAUCAAAUACUUCCAUAUUCAUAAAAGGACAAAGUAAAAGUUUCCAUCUGAAUGUAGCUCAUACCUGAGUUCCUCAAAUUGUUCCACAGGGCGUGUAAAGAUGUAACCCCCAUGGGGACUUCUCCCAGGCCAGGCAGGACCUGCACCAAAUGGGGUGAAUGCACCGACCAAGACAAGAAUUUCCCUAUCGCUGGGGCUGGGU